rnacentral:rRNA from 1 species
AGUGAACGCUGGCGGUAGGCCUAACACAUGCAAGUCGAACGGCAGCACAGUAAGAGCUUGCUCUUACGGGUGGCGAGUGGCGGACGGGUGAGGAAUACAUCGGAAUCUACUUUUUCGUGGGGGAUAACGUAGGGAAACUUACGCUAAUACCGCAUACGACCUACGGGUGAAGGCAGGGGAUCUUCGGACCCUGCGCGAUUGAAUGAGCCGAUGUCGGAUUAGCUAGUUGGCGGGGUAAAGGCCCACCAAGGCGACGAUCCGUAGCUGGUCUGAGAGGAUGAUCAGCCACACUGGAACUGAGACACGGUCCAGACUCCUACGGGAGGCAGCAGUGGGGAAUAUUGGACAAUGGGCGCAAGCCUGAUCCAGCCAUACCGCGUGGGUGAAGAAGGCCUUCGGGUUGUAAAGCCCUUUUGUUGGGAAAGAAAAGCAGCAGGUUAAUACCCCGCUGUUCUGACGGUACCCAAAGAAUAAGCACCGGCUAACUUCGUG